CGUAAACAACCUGCCCUACGGAUGGGGACAACAGCUGGAAACGGCUGCUAAUACCGAAUACGUUCCGGAAGUCGCAUGACUAUCGGAAGAAAGGAUGGCCUCUAUUUAUAAGCUAUCGCCGGAGGAGGGGUUUGCGUCUGAUUAGCUAGUUGGAGGGGUAACGGCCCACCAAGGCGACGAUCAGUAGCCGGUCUGAGAGGAUGAACGGCCACAUUGGAACUGAGACACGGUCCAG
rnacentral:rRNA from 1 species